rnacentral:rRNA from 1 species
AACGAACGCUGGCGGCAUGCCUAACACAUGCAAGUCGAACGGGAUCCUAGCUUGCUAGGUGAGAGUGGCGGACGGGUGAGUAACACGUGGGAAUCUGCCUUUUGGUUCGGGAUAACCGCGGGAAACUGCGGCUAAUACCGAAUGCCCUCGAGAGAGGAAAGAUUUAUCGCCAGAAGAGGAGCCCGCGUCCGAUUAGGUAGUUGGUGGGGUAAAGGCCUACCAAGCCGACGAUCGGUAGCUGGUCUGAGAGGAUGAUCAGCCACACUGGGACUGAGAUACGGCCCAGACUCCUACGGGAGGCAGCAGUGGGGAAUAUUGGACAAUGGGCGCAAGCCUGAUCCAGCCAUGCCGCGUGAGUGAUGAAGGCCUUCGGGUUGUAAAGCUCUUUCGUCACGCGACGAUGAUGACGGUAGCGUGAGAAGAAGCCCCGGCUAACUUCGUGCCAGCAGCCGCGGUAAU